AAAAUUGGUAUACACAACACACAGUAUGUUAAAAGUCAUAAAUAACAUAACUGCUGAUCAUAAUUAAUAUUAGAAGACACAAACAGGCUUAAGAACUUGCAUUAAUCUGCUUUUCUAAGUGCUGGAAAUUGUUCUGUGCUUAAUUAAGGGGUAGGAUAAUCUUGUCUUUAUGGCUAUGCUGGAGCUGGGUAGGUGUUUAAGUCCCUAUUCUGCCACAUGCUUCCUUUAUGAUGUUACUCAGAGCACUUUUAUGUCUAUAUUUUUGUAUUUGAAAAUUGGACAUAACAGAUCUAUUCCUCACAAGAGCAAAUAUUGUGUCUUACGCUAAUUUUAUAGUGAAUAUUUAUGGAGUAAAGCAAUUUUAUUUCCACUGUAUGUGGACCUAGGGAGACAAUGAUUUUUGAAUAUUGGCAAAUAUUAAAAAAGAAAUAAAAUUGGAAAGAAGAAAUAAAAAAAUCAUAAAAGCUCAGCAAACAUUUGAAGGAGAAGCCUGUUCAGAAAACUGAUAAAAUAGAUCACAGCAAGGAAGGUAAGAAAAGGCCAAACUGUUUAACUUUUUUCAAAAGGAGAAUUAUCUUGUCUUGAUGUCUAAAAAUUUUCUGAUUGCUCUUUAAUUUGUGAAAAGUCUGAGUUACAGUGAGUGGAAGCCAAACCCAGACCAAUUCAGAGUGGAAACAGAGGGACUGUUUUAAAUAUUUUCUGACAGAUUAGAAUUUCUAUCAGCUGCAAUCUUUUAAUGAAGGCUAAACAAUGUUCUGAGAGAGAUUUUAUAGCUCAGCAGAACUGACAGACUUGAUGCAAAAAUUAUUGGUCUGCGUGGUGAGGAAGGUCAGUGUGGACUGCCCCAGCAGUUCUGUCUGGCCCUGCAGCCCAUAAAUCUCAGAAUUAAUGUUUGUGGCUGAGGCUGAUCCCAUAAUGAUGGGGGCAUGGACACAGAUCCUGUAUUUGAAAAGAAUGGACUGUGUUGGUUGCCUGCUCACAGAUUUGGUCACAUUUGUUAAUAAUUGCAAAGAAAAGGGAAAAUGGUUGUCAGCACUCAGGGUCCUGGAUGGAGAUGUUGCAGAAUAAUCCCUUCAGUGUCCAGGAGCUGAGCUGCUGCAGAAUUCAUCAGGAAUAUGGAAAAUUUGGCACAUCCUCAGUCCUGGAAGAAUCUCAGCUGGUUUCCCAGGGAAUUCCAGCUCUCAGGGAAUGACCCAUCCUGCAGGUGGUGCAGAGGCAGGAGCAGCUCCAGUAAUAUUUCCUGAAUUGAAUCACCCUCUGAGAUGUCUCAGAUGUGAAACAGCUCAGUUGAACUGAGGAUGUGGCUCUCAUCUUCUCUGGGAUUUUUUAAAUGCCCACCAUGGCUGGUGAGAGGUUUGGAAUUUACCAUUUGAUUUGUACAACACUGUUACCUGCAGAGCACAGCACUGAGCUCUUCAUUCCAGGUGUGAACUCAACACUAUAUCAAGUGCAUUUUUGGCUGGAUCACUGUAAGUAAUAAGAUUUUUUAGGGUCAGCAAAAGAAAAAAAACUGGCCCAGUGUCUUCAAAACUCCUUGAUACAAGUGUGAGAGUCACUCAGCUAAUGCAUGUGCACUCAGUGCAUGGUUAAAUGUCCAGCCACGCAGGGUUGAAAUUGGGAAUGUUGACUCUCUGCUUGUGUUUUGAUAACUUAAAGCCUUCAAGGGGUGAUGUCGAGACUGAAGUGUAUUUCUUACGUGUUCUAUAACAAAAGUUUUGUCAGCUUGCAGUACUGAGUCUUGCCUUAAGGUCAUUCAUCAAGAUGGACUAAAAACUGAGGAAUUAUUCUCUUGGGAACCUCUUUAAACAAUGGUGAAUUUGUAGGUGUGCAACAGAGCUUUGAUGGCAGAUCAGAGGUGUGGAAGUGAAGGCGUCCAAGGCCAGGUUGGAUGGGGCUUGGAGCACACUGGGCCAAGGGGAGGUGACCCUGCUGUGGCAGGGGAGGGAAUGGGAUGAGAUUUAAGGUCCCUGCCAACCCACAUGAGGGUUUCUGAUUCAAUCAUCCAACAAAAACUUCUGGGCAUUUAUUUAUUUAUUUCUGGCAUUUGGUUAGGGGCUGCCUGACAUCUCCCCUGCCAAACUGUUGCUCUUAUUUUAGAAUGGUUUUGCCACCAUUUUAAAGAGCAAGUAGGCCAAGGGGAUAAGAUCCAUUUGCAGAGUUUUAAGAGAUUAAACAAUGUAUGGACCUGCAUGUUCUGCAAACUGACCCCCAGGGAACUGGAGAUUUACUUAACCCCUUGCCUGAUGUGAAGCUUUCCAAACACAGCAGGAUAUUGUAGGAAAGACACUUAUAUUUCAUCAUUAUAAAGUCUGUCCAGGAGAUUACAAACUCUAAAACAAAGCCUCUUCAUUAUAAAAAAAAAAUUCUCUGUGGGAAAUUAAUAGAGAAUAAAGAACACUUCUUGAGGAAGAAAAAUAAAGGCAAAUUUGAAUUUGUCUCUCAUCCUAAUUAACAGUAGGUAGUGAUACAAUCUAG